rnacentral:lncRNA from 1 species
UAUGAAUCCCCUCAAGGCCCUCCAACCACUUCCAGCUUCCAGCUAGUCAUGAAGUGCUAGACCUCAUUUUUGUUGCUAGAACUAAGUUUCCACGACGUUGUUUCUAUUAGCCUGGCUAGAUUAUGUUGCAAAGUUUGCAUCCUGAUGGUGCAAAGGUUGUUACUGUAUGAAACAAGAUCUAUGGUUAGAUGCCCAUCCUGAUGGUGCAAAGUUUGCCACUGUGUGAAACCAGAUCUGUGGAUAGAUGUCCAUCCUUCGUAAUAGCUAUUGCAAUCGAAUUCACAUUAACAGUAUUAAAAUGUUGGCUUAAUGGUCCCUUUAAACCUGCUUUGGCAUGAUAAAACCCAGCUGCUGUGUUGGCAACUAGGUGUAUAACCUUUUUUUGCCAGUAUUUGAGAGGUUGGUUGGCUCAUCCAAGCCAAGUAAAUACCUUGCACAUCCGGUGAGAAUGCACAGGCAACGCGGACCUUCUAGAUGGGAGUUGAGAAUAUGAGAUGUCUUCGCAUCGAAAUCAAAUGGAUCACUGCACCACGGCCAAA